GAUGAACGCUAGCGGCAGGCCUAACACAUGCAAGUCGAGGGGUAGAAGGAGCUUGCUCCUUUGAGACCGGCGCACGGGUGCGUAACGCGUAUGCAAUCUACCUUGUACAGGGGAAUAGCCCAGAGAAAUUUGGAUUAAUGCCCCAUAGUAUAUAACCUUCGCAUGUUGGUUAUAUUAAAGUUCCAACGGUACAAGAUGAGCAUGCGUCCCAUUAGUUAGUUGGUAAGGUAACGGCUUACCAAGACGAUGAUGAGUAGGGGUCCUGAGAGGGAGAUCCCCCACACUGGUACUAAGACACGGACCAGACUCCGACGGGAGGCAGCAGUGAGGAAUAUUGGUCAAUGGUCGCAAGACUGAACCAGCCAUGCCGCGUGCAGGAAGACGGUCCUAUGGAUUGUAAACUGCUUUUAUACAGGAAGAAACCCUCCCACGUGUGGGAGCUUGACGGUACUGUAGGAAUAAGGAUCGGCUAACUCCGUG
rnacentral:rRNA from 1 species